AAGGGUAUAGCUCAGUGGUAGAGUACAUGCCUAGCAUGCAUAAGGUCCUGGAUUCAAUCCCCAGUACCUCAA
rnacentral:tRNA from 1 species